GUCGAACGCUGGCGGCGUGCUUAACACAUGCAAGUCGAACGAAGUGGCGAACGGGUGAGUAACGCGUAAUCAACCUGCCCUUCAGAGGGGGAAAACAGUUGGAAACGACUGUUAAUACCCCAUACUGAAGGAGGGGUUUGCGUCGGAGUAGCUCGUUGGAGGGGUAACGGCCCACCAAGGGGAUGAUCAGUAGCCGGUCUGAGAGGAUGAACGGCCACAUUGGGACUGAGACACGGCCCAGACGCCUACGGGAGGCAGCAGGGGGGAAUCUUCCGCAAUGGACGAAAGGCUGACGGAGCAACGCCGCGUGAGUGAUGACGGCCUUCGGGUUGUAAAGCUCUGUUAAUCGGGACGCGGUACCGGAAUAGGAAGCCACGGCUAACUACGUGCCAGCAGCCGCGGUAAUUC
rnacentral:rRNA from 1 species